rnacentral:rRNA from 1 species
UUGGAGGGCAAGUCUGGUGCCAGCAGCCGCGGUAAUUCCAGCUCCAAUAGCGUAUAUUAAAGUUGUUGCAGUUAAAAAGCUCGUAGUUGAACUUCGGGGUUCACCCAUUGGUCAGGCUUAAUUGUCUGCACUGGUGAGAUGAAUCUCUACCUUCUGAGGAACUUUCAUGCCAUUUAUUUGGUGUGAUGGGAAAUCAGGACUGUUACCUUGAAAAAAUUAGAGUGUUUAAAGCAGGCUAACGUCUGAAUACAUUAGCAUGGAAUAAUGAAAUAGGACGGACUGAUUCUAUUUCGUUGGUUUCUAGGAUCACCGUAAUGAUUAAUAGGGAUAGUUGGGGGCAUUAGUAUUCAAUUGUCAGAGGUGAAAUUCUUAGAUUUAUUGAAGACUAACUACUGCGAAAGCAUUUGCCAAGGAUGUUUUCAUUAAUCAAGAACGAAAGUUAGGGGAUCGAAGACGAUCAGAUACCGUCGUAGUCUUAACCAUAAACUAUGCCGACUAGGGAUCGGACGAAGUUAAUUUUAUAAUGACGCGUUCGGCGCCUUACGGGAAAC